CAUUAAUAACAAAUGCAAAAGAUGAUUCUUUGUUUGCUGCUUUCGGUAACAUGGGUGGCUACAUGCAGCCAGUUGGCCAAGUGCAACAUGUCUUGAAUUUAUGUGUCUUUGGUUUCACACCUCAACAUCUGAUCGAUCUGCCAAGAUUUUGUCUCAAUGCAACAAAAGAUAAAAUAGGCUCAGACAGGGGUAGAGGUAGUGAUGGUCCAGUAUCAACUGCUGUGACAGAAGUUGCAUUAGAGGAUGGAAUUGAUCAAAGUGUUGUCGAAGAAUUAUCUAAAUUGGGACAUACUACUAAGCUCGUAACAGGUUACAAUAGAAGGAUCUUCGGACGUG
rnacentral:sRNA from 1 species